AUACGGAGGGUGCAAGCGUUAUUCGGAAUUACUGGGCGUAAAGCGCGUGCAGGCGGGCGAGCAAGUCUGAUGUGAAAGCCCCGGGCUUAACCUGGGAAGUGCAUUGGAAACUGGGAGACUUGAAUACGGGAGAGGGUAGUGGAAUUCCUAGUGUAGGAGUGAAAUCCGUAGAUAUUAGGAGGAACACCGGUGGCGAAGGCGGCUACCUGGACCGAUAUUGACGCUGAGACGCGAAAGCGUGGGGAGC
rnacentral:rRNA from 1 species